AACAUGUGGUUAAUUCGAUGAUACGCGAGGAACCUUACCUGGGCUUAAAUGUAGAGUGCAUGAGGUAGAAAUACUUCUUUUCUUCGGAACUCUCUGCAAGGUGCUGCAUGGUUGUCGUCAGCUCGUGCCGUGAGGUGUCGGGUUAAGUCCCAUAACGAGCGCAACCCUUAUCGUUAGUUGCCAGCGGGUAAUGCCGGGGACUCUAGCGAAACUGCCGGUGUAAACCGAGAGGAAGGUGGGAUGACGUCAAAUCAGCACGGCCCUUAUGUCCAGGGCUACACACGUGUUACAAUGGCCGGUACAGAGGGCAGCUACCUGGAGACAGGAUGCGAAUCUCGAAAGCCGGUCUCAGUUCGGAUCGGAGUCUGCAACUCGACUCCGUGAAGCUGGAUUCGCUAGUAAUCGCGCAUCAGCCAUGGCGCGGUGAAUACGUUCCCGGGCCUU
rnacentral:rRNA from 1 species